AUGAACGCUAGCGACAGGCCUAACACAUGCAAGUCAGGGGCAGCACAAGGAGCAAUCUGAGGUGGCGACCGGCGCACGGGUGAGUAACACGUAUGCAACCUGCCUGUAAGCGGGGAAUAACCCGUUGAAAGACGGACUAAUACCGCAUAAUACUAAAUUACUGCAUGGUAAUUAUUUAAACAUUUAUGGCUUACAGAUGGGCAUGCGCAUGAUUAGCUAGUUGGAGAGGUAACGGCUCCCCAAGGCAACGAUCAUUAGGGGUUCUGAGAGGAAGGUCCCCCACACUGGUACUGAGACACGGACCAGACUCCUACGGGAGGCAGCAGUGAGGAAUAUUGGUCAAUGGACGAGAGUCUGAACCAGCCAAGUCGCGUGCAGGAAGAAUGUCCUUAAUGGAUUGUAAACUGCUUUUGCAGGGGAAUAAAGUGCAUCACGUGUGAUGUUUUGUAUGUACUCUGCGAAUAAGGAUCGGCUAACUCCGUGCCAGCCGCUGC
rnacentral:rRNA from 1 species